rnacentral:rRNA from 1 species
GUGUUCCUACGGGGCGCAGCAGUGAGGAAUAUUGGUCAAUGGUCGGGAGACUGAACCAGCCACGCCGCGUGAGAGAUGAAGGUACAGAGUAUCGUAAACCUCUUUUGUCAGGGAACAAAGGCGGGGACGUGUCCCCGGAUGAGUGUACCUGAAGAAAAAGCAUCGGCUAACUCCGUGCCAGCAGCCGCGGUAAUACGGAGGAUGCGAGCGUUAUCCGGAUUUAUUGGGUUUAAAGGGUGCGCAGGCGGUCUGUUAAGUCAGCGGUCAAAGCCCGGGGGUCAACCCUGGCCCGCCGUUGAAACUGG